rnacentral:lncRNA from 1 species
AUGGCCCGAGUGCUUGGGCCCCUGCACCCAAGUGGGACACCUGGAAGAAGCUCCUGGCUCCUGGCUUCAGCCUGGCCCAGCCCUGGCCAUUGUGGUCAUUUGUGGAGUGAACCAGCAAUAAAGACCUCUUUAUCUCUGUCUCUCUCUAACUCUGCCUUUCAAAUAAAUAACAAUAAAAAAAAAAAAAAGAUGUAUUUUCGCAGAUUUCCAUCCAAGCUUUGGGGCCCUCCCCUCUCUGCCCGGCCCAGGCCCUGCGUGAGCGCCUCCCGCCGAGACAGAGGCCAGGGCCGAAGGGCGCCGCUCCCGGCCCCAUGCAGGUUUCACGCCUUCCCUUCCCCGGCAGCCCUGUCGUGGCAGACGGCGGAGGACGGCGGCGGGCCGAGCCGGACGCUCCGCGGGGCAGCCAGGCCCGGAAGGCCCCGCGCCUCCGCGCCCCGGACGCACGCACACCCGUCCGGCGGCGACCCGGCGCGCUCGGGGCGGGCUGCGCAGGCGGCGGGCCGGGUCGGGCCGGAGCCUGAGCCGGGGCGGGCAGGGCAGCGGCGGGGCGGGGCGCGGCGGGGCGGGCAGGGCCGGGGCGGGCCGGGCGGGAGGAGCUCGCGCCGCCUGCGCUGCAGCCUGUGCGCCGCCGCCUGCAGCUCCAAGGCGAUUAGGCUUCACCUCCCCGACACUGCCGCCGUCUUCCUGUUCAUGGUGAUUUCAUUGCACUGCAGAGCCACUUGAAGCUCAGCUGCCAGGGCCAGGUGUGUGGCACGGGGUUAGGGUGCCCCUUGGGACUCCCACAGCCUACGUGGGAGCAGGAUGCCCGAGUCAAGUCCCGGCUCUGGCCUUAUUCUGAUUCUAGCUUCUUGCUAACGUGUGCACUAGGAGGUCGCAGGUGGCUCAAGUAUUUGGAUCCUUGCCACGCACGUGGGAGACCUGGAUUAAAUUCCCAGCUCCUGGCUUCAGUGGGCCCAACCCCAACUGUUGCAGGCACUUGGGGAGUAAACCAGAAUAAGAGAGAUUCUCAUUCUUCCUCCCUCUCUCUCUCUCCCCUCCUCCCCUCCCCCUCUCCUCCCUCCUCCUCCUCUCCCUCUUUCCCCUCCAUUCCGUUCCCGCUCCCUCCCCUCCUCCCCCUCCCUCUCCAUUCCCUCCUCCUCCCCCUCCCCUCCUGCCCCUCUCCCUCCCAUCCUCCUCCUCCCCUCCUCCUCCCCUCCUCCUCCCCCUCCCCCCCUCCCCCCUUCUCUCUGCAGGGCUGUUGGGUAUGGGCAACACUUUAUGAGAAACGCUGGGUUGCUUCCAAGGCUGUUAGAGUCCUUUUUGAAGAAGCUGUAGUUUGCCUGGGGCCCCAUGUGUAACCUCCCCCUCCCCCAUCCUACGUGCCCAGCCCCACCCAGCCCCACCCAGCCCCACGGCCUCCCCCUCCCCUUGCUCUAGGCAUUUAAUCUUGCACAACUAGUGAGGAACUGCAGGAAGGGAUCCUGUGUCUUAGGAAUAAAAGGAGUUGAGUAUCUGAGGGUGGGCCUGCU